rnacentral:rRNA from 1 species
GAUUGCAGCCUGCAACUCGGCUGCAUGAAGCUGGAAUCGCUAGCAAUCGCGGAUCAGAAUGCCGCGGUGAAUACGUUCCCGGGUCUUGUACACACCGCCCGUCACACCAUGGGAGUCGGGAAUGCCCGAAGUCAGUGACCCAACCGAAAGGGGGGAGCUGCCGAAGGCAGGCCUGGUAACUGGGGUGAAGUCGUAACAAGGUACC